rnacentral:snRNA from 1 species
AAAUAUGUGCAGUGGCAGUAUCGUAGCCAAUGAGGUUUAUCUGAGAUGCGAUUAUUGCUACUUGAAAACUUUUCCCAAUACUAUGAAUCAAUUAAAUAUUAAUUCCCUUUCAUUAAGAACUAGGGUGCUGGAAAAAGGG